rnacentral:rRNA from 1 species
AAAAAGUACCUUAAAAACUAC